GGGGAGGUUUCUAGAAUUUAUAGCUCUACGUACACCCCUAUAUCCGCUUAUUAGUGGUAUCGCUCGCUAUAGAUAGUCGCGCUGCAGAAUAGACCAAGUCAGACUUUCGGGGAGGUUGCUUUUAUUCAAUAUGGAACUCUUGCAUGGGUGGAGGCAAAUGAAUGUUGGGGAGUUUUUAAGGAGUCUUCACUGGCUUGCGUUUCCCCCCAGUUAGCAUGGCCACCUUUCCUUUUUCCCCCGACAGGAAAAAAGGAGACCUUUAGCAGUUGCAUGGUAGGCAGAAGUUCUAUGGUAGAGCUUCCCUUCACCUUUUUCUCUUAUCUAGAUGGCGGUAGUGUAGAAGCAAAGCAAAUAUGUAAUCUGUGGACAAUGCAAUCGACAGAUCUGGCUCUUUUUUUAAGAGAAUAGCUUUACCUGUUGGAUUUCUGCAGGCCAUGUGUGUGUUAAAGGCCCAGGAGCCUGGCCAGAGGGGAAAUAAGUGUAGCAAUAGUCAGUAUAUGCUACUUCUGAGGUUGCUACCUUAAAAUGCAAAUACUGGUGUAUUUGCAUUUUAAAGAACUUGCACAUCUGUAAUUACAGUACUUGCUGCUGCUUAUAUAUUUGCCUUGGAGGUUAUUCCGUGGCACAUGGCAUAUUGGAUUUUGCUACAAGCAGGUAAGUUGGACGUGAUGGUGAUCUCUACUAAUCUUUAAAAUUGCAUCUGGUGUUGUUGUAUUUUUAGAUAUGGUGGCUAAUAAGACCUUUUUCUGCCAUUGAGAGGUGAUCACCCAAAUCCAUUUGACUGAUAUGAAUGCAUGAAGGGGACAAACUCAUUCUCCUUUGAUGUAGCUCAGCCGUUCAUGGUUUAUUUAACAAGGAUGCUCCUUAAAUCAAUAUGAAGAAAUGACAGUCUUGGAGGGGCUGCAGGUGUCUGAACAACGGCGACGGUCAGUCUUCAAGAGUGCUGCAGAAUUUCAAUACUUUCCUACACUAUAACAUGAGGCUCUGGGUGGGCUCCCAGCACAGAAGUUUGAUUCUGAAAAUGAUCACAGUUGAGAGCUUCGGCUAUUGGGCGGUAUAGAAAUGCAAUAACUAAAUAAAAAUAAAAAUAGCAAAUAUAGUCUUGAAUGCCAUCUUUGUUUCUGAAUGUCAAAUGUCCUUGAAUCACUACUGUGUGGAAUCCAUUUGUCAUUACCUUGCAUAAUUUUAAGUUGUUCAGAUUUUGUAAAUAGUUUCGUAGCCUGUAAAGGUUAUUGCUACGUUGUACUUGAUGAAAUAAAGUAGAUUAUAUAUUUAACAAUA